rnacentral:tRNA from 1 species
GGAAAUGUGGCUCAGUAGUAGAGUGCUUGCCUUGCAUGCAUAAGAUCCUGGGUUCGAUUCCUCAGUACCA